rnacentral:lncRNA from 10 species
AUUAUGAAAAUUCUUGUAGUGUGCUUUUCAGCUCUAUUAGGUCGGUUAUGUCUUCUUUAUACUUGCUAUUUUGUCUGUUAGCUCCUGCAAUGUUUUACAAUGAUUUUUAGCUCACUUGUAUUGCAUGACAACAUACUUCUUUCACUCAGUGAACUUUGUUCCUACGCAUAUCCUGAACCCUGCUUGUAUCAUUCCAGACAUCUCAGCCUCAGCCCAGUUCUGAACACUUGCUGGAGAGUUGAUGCAGUCAUUUGGAGGAAAGAAGGCAUGCUGACUUUUUGAGUUUUCAGUGUUCUCACACAGAUUCUUUCUCAUCUUUAUGGGCUUAUCC